UCCAGGUUAUUUACAGCGGAUCCUGGGGAGCCUCUUCUGCCCCAGCAGCCCCGAGGCAAACUCCCUCCAACCUGCUUAGAAGGGGUUAAUGUCUUAUCUAGCCCUACACCUUUGCCUGGGUUGGAGCUAUCCACUUUAGGCACCGAGGAAAUGAGAAAGCGAGGAGAGGGCCUCCAGUAGGCUGGGCAGCUGUCUGUCCUGUACUGCCAUCUGGUGGCUAUAGGAAGCCAUUGCCAUCUCACAGCUCCUCAUCUCUGCAGCCAGGAUCCCAAGACCAAGCUGAUGAUGGAAGAAGGAAGACUUGCCUGUCUCUGACUUCUGACAUAAGGUUCAGGGACCACAAGAACACAAUGGAAGCAGUUUGGAAAGCACUUGACUUUAGCAUAGUAGCAAAUGGAGGCUUCCCUUUUUUCUGUGCGAGGGGUCCUGGCUCAGCUCUUCUCCCCAUCACAGCCCUUUCCUGCACACCUGUUUGGAAGCUGUUCAGAACUGGAACAUGGGUUGGAGAAGACAUACAGGGUUCAUUGUAGCAAGGACAUGCAGGUCAAGAAAUGGAUGCUGACUGUCACAGACUCAAGACCAGCUUUUGGGCCUCCAAAGCCAGUGCUCCACCAAGCAGAGGUCCACGGGGGUCUACAGGUGGGGCUGCCUUUGCAUCAUUCUUGGUACCUUGACAUUUGCUCAUUUGCUUGGAGUUAAGGCAGAAGUCUCCUGGCCUAGAAAUCUCCUGGAGCUAUUCUGAAGUCACAAUAUAAGGACUGAAGCUGCUCUGCAUGGAGUGCUGUUGACCUGAUGAAGGCCAACUUCAGGACAGUGGUUCUCAGCCGGGGGCACUUUGCUUCCCAGGGAAUAUCUGACUGUGUCUGGAUACGUUUGGGUUGUCACGUGGGAAUUGGGUGCCACUGACAUCCAGUGGGUAGAGGCCAGGGAUGCUGCUAGGUGCCCUGGAAUGCACAGUUCAGCCCCCUUGCCCCACUAAAGAAUUUUUUGCCCUGAAAUGUCAAUGGUGCUGAGGUUGGAAAAUGUUUCCUUAGCAUUUAUCCAUAAAAGACUUGACUUUAGCAGAUUCCGCUAGCUCUGUGAAGACCCCUGGCCAGGCCAGAGUCAGGAGGCAUGUUGACAGGGAGAGGCUGGAAUGUGUGGAGAUGUCACUGAGGCCAGAGAGUAGAAGAUCUGGAAUGCCAGGGGGUUUGGAUUCAUCCCUCUGGGCAGCAGGAGGCACUGGACACCCUGAUUUGCAGUGGUCCUCUGUCCAUCCAAGGAUGGCCAGUGGCAGCAGGAGAAAUGGUUUUGGAAAGAGUGAUUUCCUGUCAUCUUGCUGCGCAGACUCCUGGAUGCCCACAUCCCACUGCAGGGGCCCUGGAUAUCCCUGGGACCAUAUGUAGAUAUUCACAGCUCAAUUCUGUAAGUGUUAAUGGGCUGCUGUCUUGGGUAUCUUCCAUGUGUCCCUCAAUACCCUUUCUCUAUUAUUCUCCAUCCAUCCACUUGGGAGCCCCAGGAGGCUGACUUAAUGGAUGAUAUUAGUGGCUCACCAGCCCUCUGGGUUUGGCAGAUACUGGAGGCAGGUAUGAGGGUGAGGUCUGGGUAUUAAUUCUUUGGCUUCUUUACUGUUGGCCACAGGAGGCCCCCUCCAUAGCUCUUUGUCUCAGGUCUAAGAAGAUAAUGGCUCUUCCCUGCUAUUGGCCCUGGAAUACUAUCCUGGUUAAUUUUGUGCAUCAAUGUAACUGGGCCAUGGUGCUCAGAUAUGUGGUCAAACCUUAUCCUAGAUGUUUCUAUGAGGGUGUUUUUGGAUGAGAUUAACCUUUAAAUUGGUGGACUUUCAGUAAAACAGAUUGCCUUGCAUAACGUGAGUGGGACCUCAUCCAGUCAGUUGAAGUCCUGAACAGAAAUAAAGGACUUUCCCCACCCACGAGCAAGAUGAAUUGUGCCCGCAGAUGGAUACUGGACUUGAACUGGCCCUUGAACCGACUUUCUGGUCCUCCAGGCUGACAGCCUUCAGAUCUGAAUGGCAGUACUGGCUCCGCCUCGGUCUCUAGCCUGAUGGUCUACCAUGUAGACCUGGAUUUGCCUGCCUCUUUAAUUGAGUGAGGCAAUUCAUUAAAAUAAAGCUGAUUAUACACACACUGUGCGGUUUCUCUGGAGAACCCUACUGCAAGUGUUUUGUGGUUCCCUAUACCUGUCCUUCCAUUAACAUCUUUGAUAAUGCUGUUCCUUUAUUAAAUGUUCCUCAAAUUAUAUACCAUGAGAGCUCUAGCUUCCCGCCUGCUCACAGUGCCUUUUGCAGGUUGGCACUGGAGUCCCAGGCCUCCUGGACACUUCCCAGAUACCUACCCCUUGGAAACCAGGCCCUGAAUGGCCACCGGGUGUGCCUGAUUCUGUGGAGCCUCAUUCUGUCAGGGCCAUGGGGCC